UCCAUAUAAUGUGGUAACACUGGUUCUCCUGUGAUCACCGAAGUUAAGCAACGUCGAGGCUUGUCAGUACCUAGAUGGCUGACCGCUUGUGAAUAACAGGUGCUGUAAG